rnacentral:miRNA from 14 species
UUGGGUCAAACAGACAUUCUAGGCCAGUGCUUCUCAACCUGUGGAUUGAGAGCCCUUUGAAGGUCAAAUGACCUUUUUAUAGACCUCUGCUAAGACUAUUGGAAAAACACAGAUAUUUACA